GGUCACCCGCAGAUAGCUUCUCUGCGGUAAAACUCGGGCGUUCCGAUCCCCUCAACAGAAACUUCCUUCCGCAGUUAAUAGUAUUAUUACACGGCAGAGAGAAGGAGAGAGAGACAGAGAGCGAGGUGAGACAAAGGGAGGUCGGAGAUAUUUUUCCAUUCUGGGAAAGAGAAGAAAGGAGGAGGAGGAGGAGGAGGUGAAGUAGGGGGAUGGAGGAGCGGGAGAGGCAAGUGCUCAUGGCGAAGCUCGCAGAGCAGGCGGAGAGAUACGGUGAAAUGGUGGAGUCCUUGAAGAAGAUUGCCAGAAUGGACAUUGAGCUGACGCCAGAGGAGAGGAACUUAUUGUCGGUUGGCUACAAGAAUGUGAUUGGUGAAAGAAGAGCAUCAUGGAGGAUCCUCUGUUCGCUUGAACAGAAAGAAGAGGUGAAGGGGAGUGAGCAAAAUGCGAGGAGGAUAAGGGAGUAUAAGAAGAAAGUUGAAAACGAACUGUCGAGGAUCUGUAAUGACAUUUUGUCUGUCAUUGCCAUCCACAUCCUUCCGUCUUCUUCUGCUGGUGAAUCGAUCGUUUUCUUCUACAAGAUGAAAGGAGAUUAUUACAGGUAUUUGGCAGAAUUUAAGACUGGAAAUGAAAGAAGGGAUGCUGCGGAUCAGUCGCUUAAAUCUUAUCAGGCUGCUACAAGUACUGCUAUGACUGAUCUUCCACCCGGUCACCCGAUUAGGCUUGGCCUCGCACUAAAUUUCUCUGUCUUUUACUAUGAGAUAAUGAAUUCAUCUGAAAGGGCAUGCCAUCUGGCUAAACAGGCGUUUGAUGAGGCUAUUCCAGAGAUCAAUUCCCUCAGAGAAGACUUUUACAAGGAUAGUACACUUAUUCUGCAGCUUCUUAAGGAUAAUCUGACAUUGUGGACAUCAGAUCUGCCAGAAGGAGGUGAACGAUCCAGAGACACCAGUACGAAUAUGGAAUUGCAUUAACCCAGAAGAUGCCAUGUUCUGGACCUUUGCAACCUUCCCAGUAGGGUGCGCAGACAGUGGGGAGUGACGGUGGCAGCAGUGUGCGCAGGCGGAGGCUAUGGGGAAGGAAAAGGAGAAAAAGAAGAGGAACUUCAGAUAUCUUUAUCUACUACAAGAAAAGCCACGACGACCAAUUGUGACUGCUAGACCGACAUAAAAGAACUGAAAAUAGACUCCAUGCAAAGUGCCCCACAUUUGUUUCUGCAAUGCAAGUUCUAAGCAUAUGACACAUUUACCACACCAGCAAGAGUAGUUGGUCCGUCAAAGCUGAUUGGUGCUCAUGUGAGGCCUUAGCUGCUGCUAAUGUCACUGUUUGGUGAUUCCAGUUCUUCAUGUUCUGGUUUCCAUUUACUUUUGUCUUGGUUUGACGGGCAUGCAAGGGUUCAUCCAAUGUAUAAAAUGUUUGGGUGUGGGAUCGAUAAGCUCUUUGGAAAUUCAACUCAUGUUUACGUACGAAUGAGCUGUUAAUCAAUAUGACUUUCCAGUCUUGCA